GUCGAACGAGAAAGGGGAGCAAUCCCUGAGUACAGUGGCGACCGGGUGAGUAACACGUGACUACCUACCCUUGAGUGGGGGAUAACCUCGGGAAACCGAGGCUAAUACCGCAUAAUAUCGAGAGAUCAAAGGAGCAAUCCGCUCUUGGAGGGGGUCGCGGCUGAUUAGCUAGUUGGUGAGGUAAUGGCUCACCAAGGCGAAGAUCGGUAUCCGGCCUGAGAGGGCGCACGGACACACUGGAACUGAAACACGGCCCAGACUCCUACGGGAGGCAGCAGUGGGGAAUUUUGCGCAAUGGGGAAACCCUGACGCAGCAACGCCGCGUGGAGGAUGAAGUCCCUUGGGACGUAAACUCCUUUCGAUCGGGACGAUUAUGACGGUACCGGAAGAAGAAGCCCCGGCUAACUUCGUGCCAGCAGCCGCGGUAAUACGAGGGGGGCAAGCGUUGUUCGGAAUUAUUGGGCGUAAAGGGCGCGUAGGCGGUUGGAUAAGUCUUGUGUGAAAUCUUCGGGCUCAACUCGAAGUCUGCACGAGAAACUAUCUGGCUUGAGUGUGGGAGAGGUGAGUGGAAUUCCUGGUGUAGCGGUGAAAUGCGUAGAUAUCAGGAGGAACACCUGUGGCGAAAGCGGCUCACUGGACCACAACUGACGCUGAGGCGCGAAAGCUAGGGGAGCAAACAGGAUUAGAUACCCUGGUAGUCCUAGCCCUAAACGAUGAUCGCUUGGUGUGACGGGUACCCAAUCCCGCCGUGCCGAAGCUAACGCGUUAAGCGAUC
rnacentral:rRNA from 1 species